rnacentral:lncRNA from 1 species
UCUGGUAUCUUUUUAUAUCUACAUACCUUUUUAUAGGAAUUGGUUAUUUUGAAAGUGUGUACAGGUAUUCAUAAACUUCUGAAUUAAGAAAUUCCUCGGCAAAACUAAGUUUCCCUGUAGAAUGUUUGAAUUGAUUUAAGUAAAAUCAGGAAAUCCUUAAAAUUUGAGAUGUUUCAUGAGACCAAAAUAAGUCUCUUCAUAAGAG